AACCCGGUGAUCUAGCCAUGGGCAGGUUGAAGGUUGGGUAACACUAACUGGAGGACCGAACCGACUAAUGUUGAAAAAUUAGCGGAUGACUUGUGGCUGGGGGUGAAAGGCCAAUCAAACCGGGAGAUAGCUGGUUCUCCCCGAAAGCUAUUUAGGUAGCGCCUCGUGAAUUCAUCUCCGGGGGUAGAGCACUGUUUCGGCAAGGGGGUCAUCCCGACUUACCAACCCGAUGCAAACUGCGAAUACCGGAGAAUGUUAUCACGGGAGACACACGGCGGGUGCUAACGUCCGUCGUGAAGAGGGAAACAACCCAGACCGCCAGCUAAGGUCCCAAAGUCAUGGUUAAGUGGGAAACGAUGUGGGAAGGCCCAGACAGCCAGGAUGUUGGCUUAGAAGCAGCCAUCAUUUAAAGAAAGCGUAAUAGCUCACUGGUCGAGUCGGCCUGCGCGGAAGAUGUAACGGGGCUAAACCAUGCACCGAAGCUGCGGCAGCGACACUAUGUGUUGUUGGGUAGGGGAGCGUUCUGUAAGCCUGUGAAGGUGGCCUGUGAGGGUUGCUGGAGGUAUCAGAAGUGCGAAUGCUGACAUAAGUAACGAUAAAGCGGGUGAAAAGCCCGCUCGCCGGAAGACCAAGGGUUCCUGUCCAACGUUAAUCGGGGCAGGGUGAGUCGACCCCUAAGGCGAGGCCGAAAGGCGUAGUCGAUGGGAAACAGGUUAAUAUUCCUGUACUUGGUGUUACUGCGAAGGGGGGACGGAGAAGGCUAUGUUGGCCGGGCGACGGUUGUCCCGGUUUAAGCGUGUAGGCUGGU
rnacentral:rRNA from 1 species